UACAGAGGGGGGCAAGCGUUAUUCGGAAUUAUUGGGGCGUAAAGGGCGCGUAGGCGGCUUGGCAAGUGGAAGGUGAAAUCCCUCGGCUUAACCGAGGAACUGCCCUCCAAACUGCUUCGCUUGAGACCGGGAGAGGUGAGUGGAAUUCCCAGUGUAGCGGUGAAAUGCGUAGAUAUUGGGAGGAACACCAGUGGCGAAGGCGGCUCACUGGACCGGUACUGACGCUGAUGCGCGAAAGCGUGGGGAGCAAACGGG
rnacentral:rRNA from 1 species